AGACGCCGCUCCAGCGGGAGGCAGGAUGGUUGCUACCUGGGGCGGCCGCCAGCUCCUCCCGCAGGGCUCCGGGCCGCCCCUCGCCCCAGGGUCGCCGGCUCCUAGUGCGGCCCAGGCUUCCCGGCCGGCCCCUCCCAGACCUAGGAAGACGUCCCCCGGGCCCCCUCAGCCCUCCACCUCCCCUCUCUCCCUUUCUCCCGGCUCCUGGCAGGCUGCAGCCGUCUCCUCCUGGUGCUCCCUCCUUCCUUGAGCUCUGUCCACCGCUGCCCACUGGGGGCUACAGCUUCUCGGCUACCCUGGAAGCUGGAGGCCGGGACCAGCUCUUCAGGUGACAGGCCUCUGUGUCUCCACAGUGGGCAGAGGGGAGCCUGCCUGGCUGAUGAGCAAGGCUCGACUUUGUCACCAAGGCAGAGAAGGGGCCCGGGUAAAUGACCCCGGCGGCCCCCACCCCUGCCUGGCGUGAGAGUGGGUAGGGGCUUCGGACUUGAGGGGACUGGAGCGGGAAUAAGGGUCUUCUCCGGCUCAGCCUUUGACUGAAGCUGGUCUGGAGACAGGGGCGUUAGAGAAGUGACUCAUAGAUGACCUAAAGAAGCGGGGCCACUCAAGGACCCAGGACAGAGGGAAGAGGGCCAACCCAGCUGGACCGCAGGCAAACCCCAUGGCCUUUGAGAGAAGAGAGAAGAGGACCCGGUGAAGUAGACUCGGAGGGCCUCAGCCCAGCAGGAGUGCGGGGUGGGCGU
rnacentral:sRNA from 1 species